rnacentral:rRNA from 1 species
GAUGAACGCUGGCGGCGUGCCUAAUACAUGCAAGUCGAGCGAACAGACGAUGCGCUUGCUCCUCUGACGUUAGCGGCGCACGUGUGUGUAACACGUGUAUAACCUACCUAUAAGACUGAUAUAACUUCGGGAAACCGGAGCAUAUACCGGAUAAUAUAUUGAAGCGCAUGGUUCAAUAGAGAGAUACGGCUUUGCUGGCUCGUAUCGAUGGAUCCGCGCCGCAUUAGCUAGUUGUUAAGGUAACGGCUUAUCAAGGCAAGGAUGCGUAGGCGAGCGGAGAGGGGGGUAGGCCGCACUGGAACUGAGCCACGCUCCAGACGCCUAAGGGAGGCAGCAGUAGGGAAUCGGCCGCAAUUGGCGAAAGCAUGGCGGAGCAACGGCGAGUGAGUGACGAAGGUCUUCGGUUCGUAAAACUCGGUUACUAGGGAAGAACCAAUGUGUACGUAACUAUGCACGUCUUGACGGUAACUAAUCAGAAAGCCACGGCUAACUACGUG